GUAAAAUUAUUAUCUUUCUUUUCUUUUCGAAUUACACAUUAUCUUAGAAAUACCUCUCUUCCAAAAAUUCUCCGAUUUCUAAAAAUAAUUUCAAAAUUUUUUCAGAAUUUCCUUCAAAAUUUUCCCGCUUUCAAACUUUUCAAGAAAAAUAUAUUAUUCCCUUUGAAAAAUUUUCUUCCCAUCUCAAGAUUUCACUGACUGGAAAAAAAUAGCGUGCCUCCCGGUGAUUAUUACCAAUAAUCGUCGAAACACUUUCCCUCUUUUUGGCCAGCCUUUAUUCCAACGCGACGAACGCAGCCACUAUCAUUAUUCACCUGGCAAGAAGAAGAAAGAGUCGUUCCACGCGGCUCUCGUGGUAAUUGGUAAGCGGUUCGACACCGGUCAAUUAUCUUAAUGACGAGCUGCGACCGAAUCGAGACACCUGGAUCGACUGGUAACCGUCCACCCACGUCGAGGCCUCUUCCUCGGACCGAAGGAAGGCAAGCUUGGAAAGCGAACCGACGCGUGUGCCACUUCUUUUAUUCCCUCGUCACGUGCUCCACGAUUGUUACGAAUAAUUUCUCUCUAAUAUACUUGUUACACUGGUUGAUUAUCACUUUGACUUUUAUUCGAUUUCUUUUACUUUUUUACACAACUUUAACUUUUACAAACUUUACACAAAUUAAAGAAAUUAUUUUGAUCUUCGAAAAUUCUUUCCUUGUCUUCUUUCUUCUUCUAUUUCCUUUGUCGAGAUCACUAUUUAGAUUCGUUGUCCAUCCUUUUUAAAGAUAUAUACACAUAUAUCCAUUUCCAAUUUUCAAGAUUUUCGAAUCACACUUUCAAGAGGCAGAAUUUUAUAACGGAAUAACAACUGUAUUGCGGUAUUCAAAUCGCUAAAGAGAUGAAUCACCGCGCAAGUUACAUUUUUUGGAUUUCGAUGCGUGUUCUUCUUCCGUGUAAUCGUCGCCGUUGUUUACGUUCCACGAUCGCUCGAUUACGUAAUAUCGCUUAAAAGCAAACGUGACGUUUUCCAGUCGCGAUACAUCCACGUUCGCGUUCCGCUUCGGAUUCCUCGCGUAGCUUGCGUGCUUCUUGCGGCCUCUGUCUUCAAAAAAAUUAUCGUAUAUUUGCACGGAUGGAUCGAUUGUUAAUGUCUGAGAAAAAUAAAAUUUAACUUUUUCUCGAAUUUAAUCGAAUAUGUUGGAAAUUUGUUCGUGUUCCCAAAUUGAAAUUUCUAAUAUAACAUAAUAUAUUUAAAAUUUUUCUCACUUUCACUUUCACAUUAAAAAUCGAAAUUCGCUAUUCGUGCUUUUAAUUUUUUCCAAGAUCGAUCGUGAAUCGAGACAAAGUAAAUAGUGUUCGCUACUUUAGUGUUGGCUUUCUUGGUUAAUUGCUCAAAGAGCAUACAUGGAAUACACGUGCUUCACCUCUAUCGGUCGUUCUUACGGACUUCCGUUUGUGGUUUGCACGUCGAUAAUUGUUACUAUUUUCUCACGAAUACAUGACGCAACAAUUCUUCGAUAAUUUCUUCUUAUUCUAUAAACAUUUGAACAAAUUCAAUUUAUUUCUUGAUUAUUGAACUAUUUUAAAAAUUGAUUCGAGGUUAGAAGAUGAUUGUCGGUUAGAAAUCUCACAGAAUACUUCAAAUUUCACUUCAAAAUUCUUCUUUCUUUCUUUCUUUCUUUUCCACCACUUCUGUAACAAUUUCAAAACACUUUUAUAAACACUUGUUUUAGCACGAUGAAUCGCAAUUAUCUGAAAUUUCCUCUUCUAACUCGUUUCCAAAAAGUUUUUUUCACUUCCCGCACACAAUGCAAUGCCUACAAUUGUUACUUUACACUUGGAUCACACUGUACACACAGAAGAUCGUCCCGAUGUUUGCAGCCAAGACUGAAUAUCAAAUGAAAUCGCGAUAGAUAGGAAUGAUAAAUUUUUGCUGCCCGACGUUUAUAAACUAGUUACUUAGACGAGUUAAGUAACUUUUUCCAAGGCACAAUUAAAGACGGCGACGAUUCGAGGAUAACACACAGCCGACUCGACGACGAUCGAAAUGCGUCAUCGACUAAUUAACCGACGCUUGCUAGCGUCAUUAGCAUAAUUAUCAGGAGUGGACAAAACGCGGGGCGAUUCAGAGGUCGGCGGGCCUCCACGGUUGACCGGAAGUCGAUGUUCCUCGCGGUGUUUUGCGUUUUAAUCGUAUUUUCAAUGAUUUAAAAUAGCAUGUGUAUUCAUAAAUCGUUCAAAUAUAUUCAUAUGCAUUUAUAUAAAUCAUGUGUGAAGAACAAGCU
rnacentral:lncRNA from 1 species